rnacentral:rRNA from 1 species
CCUACGGGCGGCAGCAGUGGGGAAUAUUGGGCAAUGGGCGCAAGCCUGACCCAGCAAUGCCGCGUGAAGGAAGAAGGCUUUCGGGUUGUAAACUUCUUUGACAGGGGAAGAGCAGAAGACGGUACCCUGAAAACAAGCCACGGCUAACUACGUGCCAGCAGCCGCGGUAAUACGUAGGUGGCAAGUGUUGUCCGGAGUUACUGGGUGUAAAGGGCGUGUAGCCGGGAAGGCAAGUCAGAUGUGAAAUCUGGAGGCUCAACCUCCAAAUUGCAUUUGAAACUGUUUUUCUUGAGUACUGGAGAGGCAGACGGAAUUCCUUGUGUAGCGGUGAAAUGCGUAGAUAUAAGGAGGAACACCAGUGGCGAAGGCGGUCUGCUGGACAGCAACUGACGGUGAGGCGCGAAAGCGUGGGGAGCAAACAGGAUUAGAUACCCCAGUAGUC